rnacentral:rRNA from 1 species
UACGAAGGGGGCUAGCGUUGUUCGGAAUUACUGGGCGUAAAGCGCGCGCAGGCGGCCAUUCAAGUCAGGGGUGAAAGCCCGGAGCUCAACUCCGGAACUGCCUCUGAAACUGUUUGGCUUGAGUACGGGAGAGGUGAGUGGAAUUCCCAGUGUAGAGGUGAAAUUCGUAGAUAUUGGGAAGAACACCGGUGGCGAAGGCGGCUCACUGGCCCGUUUCUGACGCUCAGGCGCGACAGCGUGGGGAUCAAACAGG